GACGAACGCUGGCGGCGUGCUUAAUACAUGCAAGUAGAACGCUAAGGGCCGGCGCUUGUUCUUUGCUCGUGUGGCGAAAACGGGAGUGUAACGCGUGUAACCUCUGCUUGACAUUGGGAUAACACCAUGAAAAACGGGCGCUUAUCGCGCAUAAGCUCCUGCGUCAUAUUGUGGGUUGGUAAGAUUCGGCGGUUCGGGAUGGACUCGAGGCUUAUCCUCUUAUUGGUGGGUUAGUGGCUUACCAGGGCACUGACGGGAAGCCGGCCUGAGAGGGUGACCGGCCACAGUGUGACUGAGGUACGGCCCAGACGGCAACGGGAGGCAGCAGUGGGAAAUAGUGCACACUGGGCGGAAGGCGGAUGCAGCAACGCCGCGUGCGGGAUGACGGCCUUCGGGUUGUAAACCGUGUUCGCCUGGGAAGAAGCGUGAGUGACGGUAAUGGGUAAAGAAGCGACGGCUAACUACGUG
rnacentral:rRNA from 1 species